UAGUCAUAUGCUUGUCUUAAAGAUUAAUCCAUGCAUGUGUAAGUAUAAGUAUUGUACAGCGAAACUGCGAAUGGCUCAUUACAUCAGUUAUAAUUUAUUUGAUAAUCGAAAGUUACAUGGAUAACCGUGACAAAUUACAGCUAAUACAUGCAGUCAGACCUGGUCCAAGGGUCGUAAUUAUUAGUAUUAAACCAUUUCCGCAAGGAGUGUGAUGAAUCAUAAUAAUCGAACGAAUCGCCUGGUGUGCGAUAAAUCAUUCAAGUUUCUGCCCUAUCAGCUUUGGAUGGUAGUGUAUUGGACUACCAUGGCAGUCACGGGUAACGGAGAAUUAGGGUUCGAUUCCGGAGAGGGAGCCUGAGAAACGGCUACCACAUCUACGGAAGGCAGCAGGAGCGAAAAUUGCCCAAUCCCGACACGGGGAGGCAGUGACGAGAAAUAACAACUCUUGGUUAUUCUAAGAAGUGUAAUGAGGAUAAUUUAAAACCCUUACCGAAAGCAAUU
rnacentral:rRNA from 1 species